UUUAACGGCCGCGGUAUUUUAACCGUGCAAAGGUAGCGCAAUCACUUGUCUUUUAAAUAAAGACCCGUAUGAAUGGCAUAACGAAGGCUCAACUGUCUCCUCUCCCUAGUCAAUGAACUUGAUCUCCCCGUGCAGAAGCGGGACUUUUCCCAUAAGACGAGAAGACCCCAUGAAGCUUCAGACGCCAGUCAACCCCUCCCCCUAACCUCUUCUACCAAAAAGGGGGCUAUAGGGAGAGACCCCCUUCCUAAGCGUCUUUGGUUGGGGCGACCACGGGGGACAAAAGCCCCCCCGCGGACUGAGGGCACUGCCCCCCAAGCUAUGACCCACAGCUCUAAGCAACAGAACUUCUGACCAAAAUGAUCCGGCCUGCGCCGAUCCACGAACCUAGUUACCCUGGGGAUAACAGCGCAAUCCUCUCCAAGAGCCCCUAUCGACGAAAGGGUUUACGACCUCGAUGUUGGAUCAGGACACCCCAAUGGUGCAACCGCCAUUAA
rnacentral:rRNA from 1 species